ensembl:lncRNA
AUCGGGGAGAAAUGGCGGAAUUUUGGGGGGAAAGGGACGGGGGAGGGUCUCUAAACCAACCUGUGCUAAAAAACAAAAGGGGGAAAUUCCAUUUUCCAGCCCCAAAGUGGGGUUGGAAUGUUAAAGCUUCCCGUGGCCGGGCGGGGCUCCCCCUUUUCCCGCGGGAUAUUGCUCUGGAAUUUGGGGUGCAGCACCUGGAGCGGGAAUUCCCUCCCCCCUCGGGGCUUUUGGGGUGAAUUCAGGCACCUUUGGGCCUUUCGGGACCUUCUGUGUUGGUUUUGGGGAGUUUCGGCAGAGGGAAAUGAGAUCCCACGGCUCGUACCGGGAUUGGCCACUGGGAAUUCGGGAAUUUGGGGAUUUGGGGGAUUUUGGGGAAGAUCCUGAUCCCGAGGCAGCCCCCGGAGGGGUGGGCAGGGGUCUCGUACCAAAUCCUUGAGGGGUUUUUGGGAAUCAGCCAGGAAUUCAUCCCCCCAAAACUCAUCCUCCCCAAAUUCCCCCAUCCCGAAUUGGGACCCCUUCAGGAAUUUGGGAAUUGGGGCUGGGAAUUCCCUCCAAAAUUCAUCCCCCCAAAAUUGUUCCUCCCCAGAUUCCCCCAUGCCGAAUUGGGGCUGGGAAUCCUCUGGGAAUUCCCCCAAAAAUUCAUCCCCCAAAAAUUCCCCCAUCCCAAACUGGGACCCCUUUGGGAAUUUGGGAAUUGGGGCUGGGAAUUCCCUCCAAAACUCAUCCCCCAAAUUCCCCCACGCCACGCUGGGGUCCCCGGUUCCCCCCGGUGCCCGGAACUGGGAUUCGGGGCAGGGCCGAGCUCCCGAUCCCAAAGUUUCGGUCGGAAUUCCCGGAAUUCCCGGGAACGCGGGGGUUCAGGGGGGACCCCGAUCCCAGCUCUGGGAUCCCGCGCUGCCUCUCCCGGGGGAUCGCUGUGCGUGCGGGGCGGCUCCCGAAAACCCCAAAUUCCCGGCGCCGAGGGGAAACGGGGGGAGCCGGCCCUGAGCCAGGGGCGGCCCCAAAAUCAAGGCACAGGGAAUGGGAAUGGUGCGGGAUGGGUUUUUUGGGGAUUGGUGUGCCCCUCUGGAUUUGGGAACACACGGAUCCCAAUGGGAAUGGUUCGGGAUGCGGCUGGUUCUGGGAUUGGCGCAUCCCUCGGGAUUUGGGAGCAUGCUGAUCCCAGUGGGAAUGCUUUGAGGAAUGGGAAUGAUUUGAGAUGGGUUUUUUUGGGAUUUGUGUCUCCCCUGUGGAUCUGGGAACACGUGGAUCCCAACGGGAAUGGUUCGGGUUGGGCUGGUUUUGGGGUUCAUGUGCCCCUCUGGAUCUGGGAACACACGGAUCCCAAUGGGAAUGGUUUGGGUUGGGCUGGUUUUGGGGUUCACGCGCCCCUCUGGAUCUGGCACAGAGCUGCUCCCUGGGAAAGCUCCGGGAACGGCGCCGGGGCCGCAAGGGGCACGAGGAGCGCGGCGCCGACCCCUGCCCGCGCCCGCGGGGACGGGAACGUACCGGCGAGAGAACCGGGGCGACGAACGGAAGCUCCGAGGAGAGGCCGGGGGGGGAAAUCGGGGCGAACCCCUGAAUAUCAGGGGGACGCUCGUGAGGUACCCGCGGAGCCCUCCCCGCCCUAAACGUGCGUCUGCAUGCGCUGCUGGAAGCGCUGCCCGUAGUCCGAGUGCUGCGAGGUGUACGAGAAGCGCGCCGCGCCGCCGAACUUGCCCGCCACGUCGAAGGGCUCGUAGGCGCCGCGCUCCAGCCCCGCGGCCGCGCCGCCGAAGCCCAGCCGGUAGGGCGGGAACGCGGCGCCGCCCGCGA